CCUACGGGAGGCUGCAGUAGGGAAUAUUGCUCAAUGGGGGAAACCCUGAAGCAGCAACGCCGCGUGGGGGAUGACGGUUUUCGGAUUGUAAACUCCUUUUGUUAGAGAAGAUAAUGACGGUAUCUAACGAAUUAGUACCGGCUAACUCCGUGCCAGCAGCCGCGGUAAUACGGAGGGUGCAAGCGUUACUCGGAAUCACUGGGCGUAAAGAGCGCGUAGGCGGGAUAGCAAGUCAGAUGUGAAAUCCUAUGGCUUAACCAUAGAACUGCAUUUGAAACUGUUAUUCUAGAGUAUGGGAGGGGUAGGUGGAAUUCUUGGUGUAGGAGUAAAAUGCGUAGAGAUCAAGAGGAAUACUCGUGGCGAAGGCGACCUGCUAGAACAUAACUGACGCUGAUGCGCGAAGGCGUGGGGAGCAAAAGGGAUUAGAUACCCGUGUAGUC
rnacentral:rRNA from 1 species